AGUGAACGCUGGCGGUAGGCCUAACACAUGCAAGUCGAACGGCAGCACAGUAAGAGCUUGCUCUUACGGGUGGCGAGUGGCGGACGGGUGAGGAAUACAUCGGAAUCUACUUUUUCGUGGGGGAUAACGUAGGGAAACUUACGCUAAUACCGCAUACGACCUACGUGUGAAAGCAGGGGAUCUUCGGACCUUGCGCGAUUGAAUGAGCCGAUGUCGGAUUAGCUAGUUGGCGGGGUAAAGGCCCACCAAGGCGACGAUCCGUAGCUGGUCUGAGAGGAUGAUCAGCAACACUGGAACUGAGACACGGUCCAGACUCCUACGGGAGGCAGCAGUGGGGAAUAUUGGACAAUGGGCGAAAGCCUGAUCCAGCAAUACCGCGUGGGUGAAGAAGGCCUUCGGGUUGUAAAGCCCUUUUGUUGGGAAAGAAAAGCAGCAGGUUAAUACCCCGCUGUUCUGACGGUACCCAAAGAAUAAGCACCGGCUAACUUCGUG
rnacentral:rRNA from 1 species